AGGUGUGGGGGGUGUCGACUCCCUCCGUGCCGAAGCUAACGCAUUAAGUGCCCCGCCUGGGGAGUACGGCCGCAAGGCUAAAACUCAAAGGAAUUGACGGGGACCCGCACAAGCAGCGGAGCAUGUGGUUUAAUUCGACGCAACGCGAAGAACCUUACCUGGGCUUGACAUGUGCCUGACCGCCCUGGAAACAGGGUUUCCCUUCGGGGCAGGUUCACAGGUGGUGCAUGGCUGUCGU
rnacentral:rRNA from 1 species